CGCCUCUGGCCGCAGUGCCUGACGGGAGGCGGAGAGGCGAAAGAGACUGUCCGCCAUUUUGUGUCUGUUUCCUGUGGGACGCGGUCAUAACCGU
rnacentral:pre_miRNA from 1 species